GGGGAUGACUGGAUUUGACAGCAAGACGAUGUGGUACGUAAGCAUGCAGAGAGUUGUUGCCCCUCUCUAUAAUCUCAGACAUCAACAAUUUAAUUGGCGAAAAUUCUUACGCUCUCGCUGCCUAAUCGAAGCAUAGUAGAUUGGCUUUAUUCCAUCACAGGUUGAUGGAACGAGACAUCGCCCGGGAAGUUGAACGUCCUGAAACGUCCCGAUAAGCGGUGCUGUAAAAUCAGGAAUAGUUUAUGGCUGCCUCGAGCCAUAGAUGAAACUUUUGAGGAUAAGGGUGCAGUUGGUGGUCCUGGUCUUGCUGCAUCACGAAAAAAGAAGGCAGGAAUAAGCAUGUAGAAAGCGUAUGGCUUCCUUGUUUGGACGAGGGUUCAAUCCCCUCCAUCUCCACU
rnacentral:tmRNA from 1 species